GAUGAAGAACGUAGCGAAAUGCGAUAAGUAGUGUGAAUUGCAGAAUUCAGUGAAUCAUCGAAUCUUUGAACGCACAUUGCGCCCUUUGGUAUUCCUUAGGGCAUGCCUGUUCGAGCGUCAUUUAAACCUUCAAGCUAAGCUUGGUGUUGGGUGACUGUCCGCUUCACGGCGGACUCGCCUCAAAAUUAUUGGCGGCCGGUACAUUGGCUUCGAGCGCAGCAGAAACGCGAACUCGGGCCCGUCGUAUUGGCUCCCAGAAGCUAUCUUCACAAUUUUGACCUCUGAUCAGGUAGGGAUACCCGCUGAACUUAAGCAUAUCAAUAAGCGGAGGA
rnacentral:misc_RNA from 1 species